UGACAGACAAAGAAGAUGUCCUGAGAGUGU
rnacentral:piRNA from 1 species